rnacentral:rRNA from 1 species
UUUUAUGGAGAGUUUGAUCCUGGCUCAGGAUGAACGCUGGCGGCGUGCCUAAUACAUGCAAGUCGAGCGAACGGACGAGAAGCUUGCUUCUCUGAUGUUAGCGGCGGACGGGUGAGUAACACGUGGAUAACCUACCUAUAAGACUGGGAUAACUUCGGGAAACCGGAGCUAAUACCGGAUAAUAUUUUGAACCGCAUGGUUCAAAAGUGAAAGACGGUCUUGCUGUCACUUAUAGAUGGAUCCGCGCUGCAUUAGCUAGUUGGUAAGGUAACGGCUUACCAAGGCAACGAUGCAUAGCCGACCUGAGAGGGUGAUCGGCCACACUGGAACUG